UCCGUCCUUGAAAAAAGAGACGAGCCAUUUCCAGGCCCAGGGAAAUGUGCUCAUCGCUGGGGACACAAACGCACGCACAGGAACACUAGCUGACCUCACCGACCCAAAAGGGGACAAUUUCAUCCUAAAUCAGAACACAUUAGACACUCUCACUCUCCCCCACAGGAACAACAGCGACCACGUCGUCAUAAGAGCGGAAGGGACCUCCUACAGCUCUGUCGAAGCUUCAGUCUGUACUUCGUCAACGGUAGGGUAAGGGGGGACAGCCUGGGUAGAUUCACCUGUUGCUCACCUCUUGGCCACAGCACCGUAGAUUAUAUGACGACAGACAUCGACCCUUCCUCUCUCAGCUCAUUCACAGUCAAACCACUAACCCCUCUGUCAAAUAACCCUGUUUAUCAAAAGAUCAGACAUACAGAUAAUUCACACGCAACCCAGUAAGCUGUACAACAUUAGAAAUUCAUACAGAUGGGACCAAAACAGUGCAGAACAAUACCAGAAAGCAAUCAAUAACUCCAAAAUCCAAACACUUUUAGAUAACUUUCUGAACUCCACAUACUCUUACAAUAAAGAAGGCCUCAAUCUAGCAGUGAAAAACAUUAACAAUAUAAUCAGGCAUAUUGCGAAAACAGCUCAACUGAAAGUAACCAUGAAUAAACCAAAAACAACUGGUUUGAUACAGACUGUAGAACUAUUAGGAAAAAGCUUCGGAUGUUAUCAAACCAAAAACACAGAGACCCCAAUAAUGCUGAUCUACGCCGUCAUUAUUGUGAGACCCUAAAACUCUACAAACGUACACUCAGACUCAAAAAAGAGCAAUUCAACAAACAUCAACUGACAGUAAUUGAGGAGGUCAUCAACACAAACAACUUCUGGCAAAAUUGAAAAAAACUGAAUAAAUCCCAACAUGAGGAAUUGGCUAUACAAAACGGUGACAUAUGGACAA